UACAGGGGGGGCAAGCGUUGUUCGGAAUUACUGGGCGUAAAGGGCUCGUAGGCGGCCAACUAAGUCACACGUGAAAUCCCCAGGCUUAACCUGGGAACUGCGUGUGAUACUGGAUGGCUUGAAUUCGGGAGAGGGAUGCAGAAUUCCACGUGUAGCAGUGAAAUGCCUAGAGAUGUGGAGGAACACCGAUGGCGAAGGCAGCCUCCUGGGCCAGCACUGACGCUCAUGCACGAAAGCGUGGGGAGCAAACAGG
rnacentral:rRNA from 1 species